GCAGCCAUGCCGCGUGUAUGAAGAAGGCCUUCGGGUUGUAAAGUACUUUCAGCAGUGAGGAAGGAGGUAUCGUUAAUAGCGGUAUCUUUUGACGUUAGCUGCAGAAGAAGCACCGGCUAACUCCGUGCCAGCAGCCGCGGUAAUACGGAGGGUGCGAGCGUUAAUCGGAAUUACUGGGCGUAAAGCGCAUGCAGGUGGUUUGUUAAGUCAGAUGUGAAAGCCCGGGGCUCAACCUCGGAAUUGCAUUUGAAACUGGCAGGCUAGAGUACUGUAGAGGGGGGUAGAAUUUCAGGUGUAGCGGUGAAAUGCGUAGAGAUCUGAAGGAAUACCGGUGGCGAAGGCGGCCCCCUGGACAGAUACUGACACUCAGAUGCGAAAGCGUGGGGAGCAAACAGGAUUAGAUACCCUGGUAGUCCACGCCGUAAACGAUGUCUACUUGGAGGUUGUGGCCUUGAGCCGUGGCUUUCGGAGCUAACGCGUUAAGUAGACCGCCUGGGGAGUACGGUCGCAAGAUUAAAACUCAAAUGAAUUGACGGGGGCCCGCACAAGCGGUGGAGCAUGUGGUUUAAUUCGAUGCAACGCGAAGAACCUUACCUACUCUUGACAUCCAGAGAACUUAGCAGAGAUGCUUUGGUGCCUUCGGGAACUCUGAGACAGGUGCUGCAUGGCUGUCGUCAGCUCGUGUUGUGAAAUGUUGGGUUAAGUCCCGCAACGAGCGCAACCCUUAUCCUUGUUUGCCAGCGAGUAAUGUCGGGAACUCCAGGGAGACUGCCGGUGAUAAACCGGAGGAAGGUGGGGACGACGUCAAGUCAUCAUGGCCCUUACGAGUAGGGCUACACACGUGCUACAAUGGCGCAUACAGAGGGCGGCCAACUUGCGAAAGUGAGCGAAUCCCAAAAAGUGCGUCGUAGUCCGGAUUGGAGUCUGCAACUCGACUCCAUGAAGUCGGAAUCGCUAGUAAUCGUGAAUCAGAAUGUCACGGUGAAUACGUUCCCGGGCCUUGUACACACCGCCCGUCACACCAUGGGAGUGGGCUGCAAAAGAAGCAGGUAGUUUAACCUUCGGGAGGACGCUUGCCACUUGUGGUCAUGAUUGGGUGAUCGUU
rnacentral:rRNA from 1 species